GUUCGGACUCCGCGUCCCAGCAUUCCCCGCGCGCGCUCUGGAGCACUUCCGCCCUGUUGUGAAGUGGGUGUCUCGGUGGAACCUGGGGGAGCAUUUCCCCUCCUAGGAGCCCCUCGAAGGACACACUCCAGAUGCAGGAAGACGUUGGACCAGGACGUCCCAGCUGAAGGGAGGCGUCCGGGAGAGACCAUGGCUGUAUCCCUGGAAUGCCAGGCCCAGGUCUCUCCCCGGCCAGAGCCUGAAGAACUCCUGAUUGUGAAGCUGGAGGACGAUGCGUGGAGAUCAGAAUCUCAGCCCCGGGAGAAGGGUCAUGAGCCUGUCCCCGGCCCCGAGGCCUCCCGCCAGCGCUUCAGGCAGUUCCAGUACAGGGAUGCGGCAGGACCCCAUGAGGCCUUCAGCCAACUCUGGGCACUCUGCUGUCACUGGCUGAGGCCAGAGAUACGCCUUAAAGAACAGAUUCUGGAGCUGCUGGUGCUGGAGCAGUUCCUGACCAUCUUACCCCGGGAGGUCCAGGCCUGGGUACAGGCACGCCACCCCGAGAGUGGAGAGGAGGCGGUGGCCCUGGUGGAGGAUUGGCAGCGAGAGGCCCGGGCUGCAGGGCAGCGGGAACUGGAGUUGUGUGCAGAAGAGACCAGGUCCUUAAAGGCAAUGAAGGAAUCUCAGAGCUUCCAGCUGGAGCCAGCAGAUCACUGGCCAGAGGGACAGUCCCAGAAGCAGUGGGUGAAGAAUCCAUAUCUUGACCUUCCUGAACAUCUAGACACCAAGAUGGCACCACAGCCCUUGAAAGAGAGUGCUGUCCUCACUCCCCGAGUCCCUGCUCUCCCAAAGAUGGGGAGUGUUGGAGAUUGGGAGGUGACAGCUGAGUCCCAGGAAGCCCUGGGCCCUGGCAGACACACGGAGAAGGAGUUCUGCAAGGACCCCGCCGGAGACAACUAUGGGAACGGCGUGUCCCUGGGAGUUCCAGUUUCAAAACCGAACAUCCUGUCCCGGAGAGAGCAAGGACCAGAAUUUUGGGGUCCAAGGCUUAUAAAUUCUGGAAAAAGGAUCCCUGCAGAUUAUAGCUUGGAUCCUGAGCAAACAAAGCCAGCUCAGGCAGUGGCCUGGAGGGACUCCAGGGCCUGGGAAGAAUGCCACCGGUGGGACGUGGAGGACGUGAAGGUGUCAGGUGUACACUGGAGCUACGAGGAGACUAAGACUUUCCUGGCAAUUUUAAGUGAGUCUCCUUUCUCUGAAAAACUCCGGACUUGUCACCAGAACCGCCAGGUGUACCGGGCCAUUGCGGAGCGGCUGAGGGCACGGGGCUUCCUGCGGACCCUGGAGCAGUGUCGCUACAGAGUCAAAAACCUCCUCCGAAAUUACCGGAAAGCCAAGAGCAGCCACCCACCUGGGACCUGCCCCUUCUAUGAGGAGCUGGAGGCCCUGGUGAGGGCUCGGACAGCCAUCAGAGCCUCAGACGGCCCAGGAGAGGCUGUGGCUCUCCCCAGGCUGGGGGAUAGUGACGUGGAGGUGGAUGAGCAGGAGGAAGGGAGCUGGGAGCCUGAGGAAGCAGCUGAAGACUGUAAUGGUGAUGACCUGGCCACUGAGGAGUCCAUCCAGGGGCCGAGGAUUCCAGGGGGCCCAGCUCUAUUCCAGAGUCGUAUUGCAGGUGUGCACUGGGGCUACGAGGAGACCAAGGCCUUCCUGACCAUUCUCAGUGAGUCCCCAUUCUCUGAGAAGCUGCGCACCUGUCACCAGAACAGCCAGGUGUACCGGGCCAUUGCAGAGCGGCUGUGUGCACAGGGCUUCCUGCGGACACUGGAGCAGUGUCGCUACAGAUUCAAAAACCUCCUUCGAAGCUACAGAAAAGCCAAGAGCAGCCACCCCCCAGGGACCUGCCCCUUCUAUGAGGAGCUGGACUCGCUGAUGAGGGCUCGGACUGCAGUUAGAGACACAGGGACUGGCAAAGAGGCCGUGGGUCUCCCUACUUCUGGGCAGAGCAGUACCGAGGCUGGCCACCAGGAGACCUGGGGUGAGAUGGCAGAUGAAGAUGCCAUCAGACCUCCAACCCCCAGUCCUAAAACCCCAGACACUGGUUUUGAGAUGAGGCAUGAUGAUGAAGACCAGAUUUCAGAGCAGGACAUUUUUGAAGACUUGUCUGGAGCCUUAUCAAAAUGUACUGCAGAGGAUGAUUGCUGCCCUCACGAUUGGGAGGAAGACAGUGAAAAUGAAAAUGAAGGUAAAGGGCAGUGGGGAAAUCCAUCCCGGGCACAGUGGGAAGAAUGUUGUUCUGAAGAGGACCUAGAAAAACUCAUCGACCAUCAAGGCCUGUACCUUGUAGAGAAACCCUACAGGUGUGACACGUGUGUGAAAAGCUUCAGUCGGAACUCGCAGUUAAUCGCCCACCAGCGGAUACACACAGGUGAGAAGCCCUACAAAUGCCUUGAAUGUGGGAAGAGCUUUAGUGACCGCUCCAACUUCAAUACCCAUCAGAGGAUCCACACUGGAGAGAAGCCCUACAAAUGCCCCGAAUGUGGGAAGAGCUUUAGCGACCACUCCAACCUCAUUACCCACCAGAGGACACACACACGGGUAAAGCCCUAUAAAUGUGGAGAAUGUUGGGAAAGCUUCACCCAGAGCUCAAACCUUCUGAAACAUCAGCGGGUCCACUUGGGAGGAAAUCCUGACCACUGUAGUGAGCCUGGGGAAAACUCUGGCCAAAGCCCAUCCUUUAGUGCUCCCUGGAGGAACUCGACAGAGGAGACAUCUCCGGAACAACCUCAAAGUGCCAGUAAGAACUUGAAUUCUCCUGGACCGCAAAGCACCAACUCAGGGGAGAAAGUUUAUCAGUGUUCUGAAUGUGGAAGAAGCUUCUCUAAGAGCUCUGCCCUCAUCAGUCACCAAAGAAUCCAUACGGGAGAGAAACCCUACGAAUGUGCCGAGUGUGGGAAAAGCUUCAGUAAGAGCUCCACUCUUGCCAACCACCAGCGAACCCAUACCGGGGAGAAGCCGUACGAGUGCGCGGACUGUGGGAAAUGCUUCGGGGAGCGCUCCAAGCUCAUCACCCACCAGAGGGUGCACACGGGGGAGAAGCCCUACAAGUGCCCCGAGUGUGGGAAGUUCUUCCGUGACCGUUCCAACCUCAUUACCCACCAGAGGAUUCACACAGGAGAGAAGCCUUAUAAGUGCAGGGAGUGUGGGAAAUGCUUUAACCAGAGCUCCAGUCUUAUUAUUCACCAGAGAAUCCACACUGGGGAGAAACCCUACAAGUGUACGGAGUGCGGCAAAGAUUUCAACAACAGCUCCCACUUCAGCGCCCACAGGAGAACCCAUGCAGGAGGAAAGGCCUCGUAGGAGAUGCCUCCCCCCACAGCAAAAGAGAGAAACUCAGAUUUAAAUCUCCCAAGAUCCGAAGACGUACGCUAGAAAGAAGCUGUCCCAAUUUGUGAGCUUGAUGUGUACCCGGGAUGUUAUCUUGGUGUAACCCAGGAAAAUCCCUCUCCUGACGCCCGCCAUGAUGCUGGGAUGCCAUUCAUAGCCUGGCUGUCUCAUGAACUCAGGAGGCACCUAGUAGGCAGUAGAUGUGGUGGCACCUUAGAGAAUGGAACUUCCUGGUCGCAUGUGAGGAAGUGAGUGGAGAUUUGCACUCCCACAGAAGGUGAUCACUCCUUAGCCCCUCCCUCUGCUUCCCAGGAACCAGCUCCCUUGGGAUCACUGCCUGUCACCUGCUCACCUUUCCUGGCUCACAUUGUCUCUGAGGAGCAGGGGUGGUGGGUGAGCCCUGGGUUCGAACCAGCAGAUGUCAGUAACUGCAACAAUAAGAUGAUGGGGAGGUACCAUGUGAGCCAAGAGGAAGGAACCUGAGGGAGGGGACGGUAGGUCCAGGGAAAGGCACAGUGGUGUGGAAGAGCAUGGAUUCAGGGUCAAGGCGGGGCUGUAGCCUCCUAGUACUAUUUGGGUGUCAAGUGGGCGGUCGGGAGUAGUAGGAGCUGAGGUUGGAGGGGUGCUGGGGCAGGGUCACCGAGGACCUCGUGGCUGAGGAGGGUGUGGUCACAUGUGCAUUGUUGAAAUCUAAUUGCUGAAGGCAACGUGGAUGUACUGCACUUAGGACGACCUGUUGGGGCACUGCUGCAGUAUUCCAGCUAAGAGCGCGGGUCUGGACUAGCGCCGUGGUUACGCUGAAGAGGAGGGGAGGAUUCGAGGGGCUUCACUGGCAGCACUGAGGACAGCAGGCGCAAGCUGGAGGCCCUGGGUGGCUGCUGGAGCCUGCCGUCGUUCAGGACUGGGGCCAUGAGGAGGAGGUGCAAGGAAGGCAGGAGGGCAGGAGAGAAGUUUAACUGGGGACAUUUUGAACUUGAGGUGCCUUAGGGAUAUCCAAGAGGAGACAUGCAGCAGGCAUUUGGCUAUCUGGGCCUGAAGCUGAGGGAGGUUAGGACUGGAGAGUUGUCUGCAUGCAUGGCUAUUAAAUUCAUGAGGAGGGCAGGAUGUUCAAGUUCAAGUCAUCGAAAUAUUGGGCCCGGGACAGAACUUGAGAAGCAGCACGUGUAGAGGAAGAUGCCCCUCGCAGGAGAUGUAGACCACUCCCCAGUCGCACGCCCCUGCACGCUCCAGUCAGCUUUUGGACACUGCCUCAGUGGCUGCUGACAUCUGAAUUCUGAAUGUAGUCCUGGAUUUUCUGGAACCUUCCCUGUGGAAGCCAAGCUGAGCUGUGUGUAGAAGCGAGAUUGUAGCCCUCUCCCCAGCUCAAGUGUCACCCGUUCCCCGCCUCUUGGAAGUGUACUAGUGUCUCAUGUUCUCAGCUGAACAGUUUUGAGGUUUAUUCCUCCCAUCUCAUAACUAGUGACUGUAGGUUCAGCCGUAAGAUGGAGGGCAGUGUGGGCCUGGGGAGAAAACAGCCCAGCAGGACCUUCUCUCCUUGUGGACCUGACGCUUCCUUCGAUGGCUUCCAUGCCUGGGGCCCGGCCCAUCACUGUGCUGGGGCACCCAGACAGCCUCCCGCAGAUCUCUGCUGCUCGAGUACACUGACAUCUGGCUUUACACGUCCUGAGCUUUGUUACGGUGAGUCUGCCCUUGGGAAGUAGGUCCACUCUGCAGGACGGGCAGUUUCUCAGCCUGCAUGGCCACGGGUCAGACCCUGGUCACGGGAGACGGAAGCAGUGAAUGCUGCCCGGAGAAGGUGUUAUGUGUGAGCUGCAUCCCCUCCCUUGAUUUCUGUACCCUCCACCCGGGGAGGGCGUUGACUCCUCAGAGGUGACUGAAAGGCACCACAAACACUCAUUCCAUGGACUCAUCAGCAGGCAGCAGACCAAAGCUAGGGGCAGGGAAAGGUGGGCCAGGCCACUUGACAUACCCAGUUUUUUUCUUCGGCCUUGGCCCCAGCAGCUGAAGGCAUGGUCACGGCUGCCUCAGCCUUAGUGUCCCCACAGCCCCCAUCUGCAGGAGCCUAAGGUAACCAGGGCCCUGCCUGUGCUGGAAAUUGUAGCCUCUGGGACCAUGGAUCCCUGGGUUCGCCUCAUCCUGGUCUAGGACCCCUGGUCGGGAUAGCCCUCCACCUUCAGGCUGCAGAAAAGGGUGCAUCUAUAGUCACUUUGUGGAGACGAAUAACACCGUUUGGGGGCAGGGACGCAGAGGUUUUGAAGUAGCGAGUGUGGUGAUGUCUGGAGUGGGUGUGGGUGGCAGGUGGUCUCGCGUCUCCCAGGACUCCCUGGGUCUCUACCCCAGAUUGGGUCCCAGGCCUGCUUCUCUGUUCGCUUCGUUCACUCUGUUCUGUUUGCAUUUUUUUCUGCUGUGUAUGUGCUGAUAACUCCCAGGCUGCCUGCUGGCCAGUCCUACUUGGGUCACUCUGGACCCCUCCAGCCCCACACCCACCUGCUGCCGUCUCCGGCCCCCUGGCCCACCUGCUCAGCCCGUGCAUUUACGUGCACACUCGGUGGCCCACAGAAGCCUCCACACAUCUCCAGUGAGGCGUACAUGCUUGGACUUGGAACAGACGCAGUCCUCCAGACGUGUUCCCCCUUCUAAGGGCAUUUUCCAGCUAGGCUGUGAUUGCCCAGUGGCCUGGGAAGUCCUUUCCUGAACAGACUCAGUCGGAAUUCACCCAGUGAAACAUCCCAUUACCUCAAUUGAAACCACCCUCGCUUUGGACGUCCCUCAGCCCCCACCUCUUAGCAGCAAACACCCUCUUAGGCCCCUGCCCCAGUCUGUUGCUGGAGGUUAGUGCUACCGAUAGUGGGAGGUCUGGAAGGCAGGAGAGGUGGGGCUCAGGCCGGGCCUUGGGGUCUGGGUGACAGACGUUUUAUGCUUCUUUCCUUGGCCCUUGGCUGGUUCUCUCUGCGCACCCCCAACACCAGUAUUACCCCGAGUGUGCCUUUAACACCACUCCCCUCACUCUGCGUUGAGGCAAAUCUGGAAUCACCUCCAAAUGCAAUUUUCGGAGGGUCAGGUUUCUCACCCCACUGUCCCUUCCGCUAGCCCACACUGCGGCAGAACAAUGACCUCUGCUCGUCCCCGGCAGGUGCCUCGCUCACCUGGUCCCGUCAGGAGCCCCAGUGACCCGAUCCUGUGCUACUGGGAGGGAGAGGCAGAGCUCCUCUUCUCUCUGUAUGCGGUCAGCCCUCCCAUGUCUCAAGGCUCAGAGCCCCUUUGCUCUAAGAGCCACGUGGUUAAGUCCAGGCCAGAACCCAAUUAAGCAUUUGGCCUACACUCACUAGAAUAGGGAUCCACGUAGACAGCGAAUUUCUAAUCAGGGUGUGGCUAGUGGUUCUCCUGGCAUGUGAGGAUGAUUCUGAUCCUGUCUGCCAUUCCAUCAUACUUCUUUCCAAAGUCACAUUUAUUUUUCACAUUUUCAUCAUCAUUUCAUUAUUUCAGUCCAUAACCUUGCCAUCAAGAGGGUGAGGGUCCUGGGAAGGAAGACAAAGAAAAUGAGUCUACCUCAUGGGCUGGUUCUGGACCAGCAUUACGGGUCCAUCCGAGCGCCAGCAGGAGAGGAGCCACAGGCGGGGGCUGAUAGAGCUGUGGGCACUGAAGUCGCUGGGGCUGAGGGAGCCCCACUUUGGUACCAGGUGACAAACGUGACACAGAGAGGAAAGGGCUCUUCUCCCUUCUUCCACACAGGGCACGGCUUGGCUUUCAUGCUUUGGGGAAUUCGUGGACCACAGAGGAGCUCCUGCGCAUUUAGAGGCAGUGGAGACCAGCAGGUGGGGUGUCAAGGGGUUGCCUUGGGGGCCGUGGUGGCAGGCAGACUUCAUUCACCCCGGGGGCCAGGCUGGGAGAACCUUCUACAACCAGCGCCUGGUGAGGGCUUGGUCAUGAUCACAUACAAAGUCCCCGACCGACCCAACCCCACUCCUGAAGUUUCCCAGAAAUAGAUGGAGGUGGGGAGGCUACCUGGGCUCAAGGUCACGUUAAACCCACCUGGCACGUCCUGGGAAGGGGGAGGGAAAACAGGUGUUAUCUCAGGGAACUUUCUUGAGCAACUGAUUUUCAUGGAAAACAGGCAUUUGUGAUUGAUUUUUGUCUUAGUGACUGUGGAAUUAAAAUGGAUUAAAUUUUGGCCCCUAGGAGGCUCAGAGAUUUAAGGUCCAAAUCUAGAAACAGAACUGGCUCUUUUGAUUUGCAAUUUGUGCAUCCACCCCACCUUCAUUUUAUUUGACUAUGUUUUCACUUCUCCAUCCUUUAUUAUUUCUUCUUCCUAUGAGAUUUUGUAUCUCUUAACACUAGUCAGAUCCUAUUUUGGAAUGAAGUGGCUUGAUAAAUUAAUAAAUUAUACAAAUUGAACGGCAAAAAAAGGAACUUGUUUUGGGUUCUUCUGGCAUCUUCCUGGUUACACCAAAAGCACGGAGGAAAGGAGGAGGGGAAAAGUGAGGGGGACACAGUGAGGCUGUCGGGGAGGCUUGGGGCUCAAGAUCUCAUGCCCCUUGUGUUGGACUGGCAUCUUCCUUUCAUGUUCUCUAUGGCUCUUCAGACAUGAGUGGAUAUUGCAACCCAGAGUCAUUGCCUUUUGUCUAUAACAGGUGGUUCCUCAGUCUGCUGGCCUUCCUCACACAUCUUUGCUUUGAUGUGUCCCCCAGGAUCUCUGUGCUAGGGAAUCUGAGGUAUCUGGGACCUAAAUAACAUAAGGAUGAAAGGAUGAAAAGAAAAGGUGUUCCCAGGGGGCUGAAUCCUACCUGACUCUUCCGAUCUGCUUCCCAGUCCGGGAGGAGAGCUGAUACACUUUGUGCUGGAGAAGGAGGUGAGUGCUGGAGGGUUUUUAUGGGAAUUCUUUCCCCUCCUUCCUCCACCCACUCCCCUUCUGGUAACAUUCAGAAGACACUGUAGCUCAAGGUUGAGGUCUCCUUUAGAAACUUUUGCUCUUUCAUCCUUGUUGAAUGGGUUAUAGGCAACUUUGCCUUUUAGACUCUGAUAUCCUUGAAUUCUGAUUAUGAGUUAGAGAAAGAGUGAUAUUUCAGAGUUUGAUGUGACUUUGAUCAGAAGCUACAGGAAACUGUUUCUUCCUGUAGGAGUCAGAAUCUUAAGUAGAAGUUUAGUCACGGUUGGACUGAGUGUACUGAUGCUCUGUUCAUCUUGGGACAAAGAUGAGAUCUGGGAGAAAAUGAGUCAUGGUCUCCCUGAAGGAGAAGUUCCAGCUCUCGCUUACAUGUUUUCAUGUAACUCCUAUCUAGCAGUUGCUCCAACAGUGAGCAGAUCCACAGGGCUUGCUUUCCUGGGACAGAGGCCACAGACAACUCAUUGUCAUUCUCUUGCUGUUAGCAGGGCCCAGAGGUCAGUUUCGAGCAUAGGGUCCACCAAGCCUGACCAGCUGGAACAGGAACCCUUUAAUCAGUUUCGACAAAGAGGCAGCCAGUGCCAGCGUUACCGAGAAUGUAACACUAGGAGAGAAUCCUCACCUGCAGGAGAUGCCUAUGCACUGGGCCGGCUCUCUGCUGGCCCCACGUCCACAGGCUGCUGGGUGCUCCUGUUGCCAGAAGUUCUGGGCUGAACCAGGAAUCCAAACAGCAGGGCACCUGGUCCCCAGCUAGGCAGUGGGAGUCACCAGGUAAGAGCCUGACAUCCUUGGGGAAGAGGAGGUGUGUAGGAUCCAGUAGUUUCAGGGCUCAGGCAGCUUGAGGAAGGGGCCAGGUCAGGGUCAAAGGAAGGACUGAGAGCCGAGAGGGGAGCGAGUCGGAAGGAAAGGGAGCAUAUGGGGAGGGCAGAGAGGCAGAAAGGGGAGAGGAGCAAAGGGGCAGGCUGAGGAGGAGGCAACCAAGUUUGGGAGAGAGGAAGGGCAAGAGGAAAAACUCGGGGUUGGCUGUCCUGUGUGUCCCUGAGUGAGGUAGGGGGUGGGGCAGGUGGAACAGAAGAGGGGAGAGAAGGCAUUGGAGCAGGAAGAGGGGGAGGGAAGUGGGGAAACAGAGGCGGCUCCUUUAUGGUUCCCAAGUUAGAAAUGGAGGGCUGGGCCGCUUGGGCCAGUACUCUGCACCCUCCCCCUCUUCCAUUCUCCCAUGAUCCAGACUCCAUAGUAACCAAGACCAGGAACCCUGGGCUGCACUGUCCUGUAUGGUGGCCACCCAGCUACAAGUGCCAUUGAGCCCUCUAAAGGUGACUAAGUCUGAGCUGAGAUGUGUUGAGAUGUGUAAUAUAUACACCAGAUUUUGAGCAAUUCUAUGAAUAAAAGUGUAAACUAUCUCAAUACUUUUAUUUUGGUUACAUCUUGAAAUGAUAAUUUUUAGGAUAUAUUGGGUUAAAUAAAGUAUAUUAGUAAAAUUAAUUUCACCAUUUCUUUUUGCUUUCAUAACGUGGCUCCAUCCAGUCAGUACGCAUGCAGCUUGCAUUCGUGGCUUGCAUUGUAUUUCUGUCAGACAGCACGGCCCUAGGGCAUUUGAACUAGAAAAGCCGUCCCUGGAAGUCUCAUUUUAUAGAUGAGGGAAUUCAGUCCCAGAGGCUUGUUUGUGGUCACCAGAAACACACAGCAGCUCUUGGACGAGGAUCCAGGUCUGUUGAUCCCCGCUGGUGCAGGGCCUUCUCCUUGGCUCAAGCUAGUCAGACAUGGCCAGGCCUGUGCCCAGGCAUGAGGUUGCCCCCUGCGUGUUGCAUGAGAAACAUGAAAGGCAGACCCGUUGCCCCCACAUCUACCUCUUUUGCAAGCCUGGAACCUUAAGUGGCCCCAUUAUUGCUCUUGUUGGGAAGGCCACUGAAUGAUGGGCCGUGUGCUCCAGAUAAAAACAGCAAUAAACCUGACCUCCCCAGCGGGCAGAAACUGAGCAUAGCUGAGUCUGGGGGCUGGGGACUGGGAAGAAGCUUCUGAAGAUGAAAUAAACUGAAGGAGAGAAGUUAAAAGUCACAAUUUCAGCCUGUAUGUCACAUCUCAGUUUUCAAAAUCUUUUCAGAGUUUAUCCCAUUGAAACCUACUCAUGGGAAGAUUUCGAGGGAAAAUGUUACACCCUUUUUCCAGGUAAGGAAACUGAAACUCAGCACAGGACCUUGUCCAGAAGUCCCCAGUCCAAAGAGCAAACACCCAGCACAGCAGAUGCCUUUCAGUCAGGCUCCCCGCUGUUGCUUCAGUACUCCUUCCACUUGGUAGCCAAGAGCCAGAUGGCUAGGGUACCAGGCAGUAAAAGGAAGGCUGCUGGCCACUAGUGUGUGCUGUGCCCACUGUCUUGGCCCCAGGAAGGAAAAAGAAAGAAUCGUGGGUA